GACGGGGGGGGCAAGUGUUCUUCGGAAUGACUGGGCGUAAAGGGCACGUAGGCGGUGAAUCGGGUUGAAAGUGAAAGUCGCCAAAAAGUGGCGGAAUGCGUCUCGAAACCAAUUCACUUGAGUGAGACAGAGGAGAGUGGAAUUUCGUGUGUAGGGGUGAAAUCCGUAGAUCUACGAAGGAACGCCCAAAAGCGAAGGCGAGCUCUCUGGGUCCCUACCGACGUUGGGGUGCGAAAGCAUGGGGAGCGAACAGG
rnacentral:rRNA from 1 species